rnacentral:rRNA from 1 species
GACGUAGGAUGCAAGCGUUGUCCGGAAUUAUUGGGCGUAAAGAGUUCGUAGGCGGUUAUCUAAGUCUGGUGUUAAAGCCCGAAGCUCAACUUCGGCAUGGCAUUGGAAACUGGAUGGCUAGAGUGUGGUAGAGGUAUCGGGAAUUCCUGGUGUAGCGGCGAAAUGCGCAGAUAUCAGGAGGAACACCGAUGGCGAAGGCAGGUCUCUGGGCCACUACUGACG